rnacentral:misc_RNA from 1 species
GAUGAAGAACGUAGCGAAAUGCGAUAAGUAAUGUGAAUUGCAGAAUUCAGUGAAUCAUCGAAUCUUUGAACGCACAUUGCGCCCGCCAGUAUUCUGGCGGGCAUGCCUGUUCGAGCGUCAUUCCAACCCUCAAGCCCCAGCGGCCUGGUGUUGGGGACCGGCGACCUCGCCCGAGCCCGCCCUCCGGGGCGCGUGCCCGGUGCGUCCGCCGCCCCCGAAAUGAAUUGGCGGCCUCGUCGCGGCCUCCUCUGCGUAGUAGCACAACCUCGCAAGCGGGAGCGCGACGCGGCCACUGCCGUAAAACGCCCAACUUUUUUAGAGUUGACCUCGGAUCAGGUAGGAAUACCCGCUGAACUUAAGCAUAUCAAUAAGCGGAGGA